AGUGAACGCUGGCGGUAGGCCUAACACAUGCAAGUCGAACGGCAGCACAGUAAGAGCUUGCUCUUACGGGUGGCGAGUGGCGGACGGGUGAGGAAUACAUCGGAAUCUACUUUUUCGUGGGGGAUAACGUAGGGAAACUUACGCUAAUACCGCAUACGACCUACGGGUGAAAGCAGGGGAUCUUCGGACCUUGCGCGAUUGAAUGAGCCGAUGUCGGAUUAGCUAGUUGGCGGGGUAAAGGCCCACCAAGGCGACGAUCCGUAGCUGGUCUGAGAGGAUGAUCAGCCACACUGGAACUGAGACACGGUCCAGACACCUACGGGAGGCAGCAGUGGGGAAUAUUGGACAAUGGGCGCAAGCCUGAUCCAGCCAUACCGCGUGGGUGAAGAAGGCCUUCGGGUUGUAAAGCCCUUUUGUUGGGAAAGAAAAGCAGCAGGUUAAUACCCCGCUGUUCUGACGGUACCCAAAGAAUAAGCACCGGCUAACUUCGUG
rnacentral:rRNA from 1 species